AGUGAACGCUGGCGGUAGGCCUAACACAUGCAAGUCGAACGGCAGCACAGUAAGAGCUUGCUCUUACGGGUGGCGAGUGGCGGACGGGUGAGGAAUACAUCGGAAUCUACUUUUUCGUGGGGGAUAACGUAGGGAAACUUACGCUAAUACCGCAUACGACCUACGGGUGAAAGCAGGGGAUCUUCGGACCUUGCGCGAUCGAAUGAGCCGAUGUCGGAUUAGCUAGUUGGCGGGGUAAAGGCCCACCAAGGCGACGAUCCGUAGCUGGUCUGAGAGGAUGAUCAGCCCCACUGGAACUGAGACACGGUCCAGACUCCUACGGGAGGCAGCAGUGGGGAAUAUUGGACAAUGGGCGCAAGCCUGCUCCAGCCAUACCGCGUGGGUGAAGAAGGCCUUCGGGUUGUAAAGCCCUUUUGUUGGGAAAGAAAAGCAGCAGGUUAAUACCCCGCUGUUCUGACGGUACCCAAAGAAUAAGCACCGGCUAACUUCGUG
rnacentral:rRNA from 1 species